UGUGAGUCGCAGUGGUGAUGAACUUAAUGGUUCUGGUGCAGUGGACGAUGCAGUUGCUGAGAAGAAAAAUGUAAAUGACAUUGAACAAUGCAAAUUCAAAGUCAUGGAUGAACUUCCCUCUGAUCCACACCGAAAUGGUGAGGGUACUGUAAGUGAUGAGGAAAAGAUUAAUUUGNNUCAGGUGAUAUGUUAGAAGAAGACUCGUAUGGCACUGAAUAUGAGUCUGAUGGCAAUUCUGUGCCCAUGGAUAUAGAAGAAGACAGUCGAGUACAGGAUGACUAUGAAGAUGGUGAGGUUAGGGAACCACAACUGCAUGGUGUUGUAGAGAGUGCUAUAUGUGAGGA
rnacentral:misc_RNA from 1 species